GAUGAAGGACGCAGCGAAAUGCGAUACGUAGUGUGAAUUGCAGAAUUCAGUGAAUCAUCGAAUCUUUGAACGCACAUUGCACCUCUCGGUAUUCCGGGAGGUAUGCCUGUUCGAGCGUCAUUUGUACCCUCAAGCUCUGCUUGGUGUUGGGUGUUUGUUCCGCCUCUGUGUGUGAACUCGCCUCAAAACAAUUGGCAGCCGGCGUACUUGUUUCGGAGCGCAGCACAUUUUGCGAUCCAGAUCAACGUACAGCGGCAUCCAAGAAGCCUUAUUUAACGCUCUUGACCUCGGAUCAGGUAGGGAUACCCGCUGAACUUAAGCAUAUCAAUAAGCGGAG
rnacentral:misc_RNA from 1 species